UACGUUGUGGUCUAGUGGUUAGGAUUUACGGCUCACACUCGUAAUGCUCGGAUUCGAUUCCCAGCAACGGAA
rfam:Angiostrongylus costaricensis strain Costa Rica genome assembly, scaffold: ACOC_contig0002108